UACGUAGGGUGCAAGCGUUGUCCGGAAUUAUUGGGCGUAAAGAGCUCGUAGGCGGUUUGUCGCGUCGAAUGUGAAAACCCGGGGCUCAACCCCGGGCCUGCAUUCGAUACGGGCAGACUAGAGUUCGGUAGGGGAGACUGGAAUUCCUGGUGUAGCGGUGAAAUGCGCAGAUAUCGGGAGGAACACCAGUAGCGAAGGCGGCACUCUGGGCCGGUACUGACGCUGAGACGCGAAAGCGUGGGGAGCGAACAGG
rnacentral:rRNA from 1 species